AAAUCUGGUACCUUCGGUGCCCGAGUUGUAAUUUGGAGAGGGCAACUUUGGGGCCGUUCCUUGUCUAUGUUCCUUGGAACAGGACGUCAUAGAGGGUGAGAAUCCCGUGUGGCGAGGAGUGCGGUUCUUUGUAAAGUGCCUUCGAAGAGUCGAGUUGUUUGGGAAUGCAGCUCUAAGUGGGUGGUAAAUUCCAUCUAAAGCUAAAUAUUGGCGAGAGACCGAUAGCGAACAAGUACAGUGAUGGAAAGAUGAAAAGAACUUUGAAAAGAGAGUGAAAAAGUACGUGAAAUUGUUGAAAGGGAAGGGCAUUUGAUCAGACAUGGUGUUUUGUGCCCUCUGCUCCUUGUGGGUAGGGGAAUCUCGCAUUUCACUGGGCCAGCAUCAGUUUUGGUGGCAGGAUAAAUCCAUAGGAAUGUAGCUUGCCUCGGUAAGUAUUAUAGCCUGUGGGAAUACUGCCAGCUGGGACUGAGGACUGCGACGUAAGUCAA
rnacentral:rRNA from 1 species